AUCCAGAUAACGAGUUCCAAACAGAACGAAACGCUCAUCCUGGAU
rnacentral:hammerhead_ribozyme from 1 species